rnacentral:lncRNA from 1 species
GAUUUUAUUUUCAAAAACAGUCCGCAUCAUCACAAACAGAAGGUGGAAACAACCCAAAUGUCCAUCAACUGAGGAACAGAUGAACAAAAUGUGGUAUAUUCCUGCAAUGGAAUACUAUUCAGCCAUAAAAAGGAAUGAGGUUUGAUACACGCUGUGGCAUGGAUAAACCUGGAAAACAUUAUGGUAAGUGAAAGAAGUCAGACACAAAGGACCAUGUACUAUAUGAUUCCAUUCAUAUGAAUGAAACAUCCAGAACAGAGAAAUCUAUCAAGACAGGAAGUAGAAUAGUGGUCGCUUGGGGAGAGAGGGGGAAAUGGGGAGACGUUCAGGGAACAGAAAUAGCUCAAGGGUGCUGGUUUCUUUUUGAUAUGAUGAAAAUGCUCUAAAAUUGAUUGUCAUGAUGGUUGCACAUAUCUGUGAAUAUACUGAAAAACACUUAAAGUGGUUUUUUAAGCACUUUGAGUAAAUCUCAAUAAAGCUGUUUAAAAAAACCCAGCAGAGCAGAUUUCGCCCACCAGCCAACGUGGUCUAGGAUACUUUUCUUCAAAUUUGUUUCCUUUCACGUUCACAGCAAACCUGUGAGGCAGGUAUUUUUGACGAUCAGAAUGAUUGGGUUACUCGCCUGGGGUCACUCAGCAGACAAGUGGAGCAGCAGAGUGCCUGCUGGCUUCAGAGGGCGGGCGUGUAGACGCGGACAGGAAGUCUCACUGUGUUAUCCCCUGGAGCGCGUGUGGCCCAGAGCCCUGAGCCAGAUAAGGAUGCAACAAAUUGUUUAUUGAUUGGUUUGUUUUUAGAGAAAACAUAUAGUGUAAUAGUUAAGAAUACAGACUCUGGAGCGAGCCCGCCUGGACCCAAAUUCCAGCUCCUGACUCCUGCACGACCCUGAGUGAAUCACCCCCUCGCCGUGCCUCGAUUUUCUCAUCUGUAAAAUGAGAAUAUUAAGAGCUUCUAUCUCAUAGGAGGGUGGUGAGAAAUUAACGAAUUGUUCCUAUGAAACGCUUAGAACCGUGAAUUGGAUUUGCUGUUACUAAUUAUAAGCUCAGCUUCCCAUAGGUGUUGGUUCUCUCACAAGGAAAGGAAUCCGUAAUGGCAUGAAAAAUAGACCAGUGAGGAAAAUUUAGGGGCUGGGAGAGACAUUUGGCUCUAGUCAAACCACACCAUGAACGAGUCUGGCUGUUCAGCCAAACUGACGACGCCCACAAGCAUCUGGCUCUCCCAAGUGCACAGGACGUCUAGGGUAACAGGACCCCUGGGGGAACGGGCAGAGAGGCUACUGUGGUGACCUGGGCACUCGGGGCGCACGGAGCGGACCCCAGGCUCCGGGCUCUGGGUACCGCCCAGCCGCGGCUCGCAUCCUACUUAGCUUAUAAUAGCAGAUAUGAAAAUUUUAUCAGGUUUUCUGCUUUACUCCUGUGAAAUAUUAAACACUAAUAAAUUAUUAAGCGCAAUGUAAAAUACUACAAAUGUUCACAGAUUUCAUCAAGAGGUACUUCAGGAGCACGUCUGUUAGAGGGCUGUUUCAGGUAAAGCAAUCUGCUCCGAUAAAGGGUGGCUUUGUUCUCCUUCCAUCGUUUCUGUUCCUUAAUAGGGAAAUGUCUAUUCUGGGAUUCAGGUGCUGCCAAUAAGCACACGAGGCCGCAGGAGUUCUGGAUACGUGGCUGCUUUAUGCAUUCGGGCUUGACUGUGGGCGGGAGAAUGGAGCUGAAAGGGGGGGCCCAAAUUUUGGAGAAAUAUGAAACUUGUGCUGAGUGUCCCCAAAGUGACCUUUUCUCUUACCCUGUGAAGCGGAAAGCUCAUCGGGCCUGGGCUGCAGCCGCAAGGGUCUCUGAUGGCCCAGGAGUGCGUGUGUGGCGGACUGAUGGGAGCGUCUGAAUCAAGCCUGUUUUCCAAGAGGCAGGGGCUAUUCCUGAGAGAGAAGCCAAGCCGAACGUGAAGCCAGCCAGUCUGACAAGCUGCUGGGGUGGCCCAGGGGAGACGACUACCUUCUGGGAAGCUGAGGAGCUCCCAGAAAAGAGCUCACCCUAAGAAGAGCAGCUAAAGCCUGGCCUGUGGUUGGAGGAAGGCAUUCCGAGCCCAGCACUGUAGCUGCCUCUCUACACCUCCCACGGCCCAGCCUCCUGAACACUUAUCUGGGUCAGAAACAGACAGAUGGCUCCAAGAGAAACAAGAAAUAGAAGCUGCCACUGCACUGUGCGACACAUUAGCGCAAAGCAACUCUGCUCGGGGCCUCCGUUCCACGGUGUCCCGGAAGGGGGAAGGCACUUCCCCUGCUCUGUCACAGAUCGCCACACAGCUCAGCACACGGCUGCCAGCCAGCUGCAGGUGGGAACCCUGGACGCAGGACAGGGGGACGUGACAGCGAGGCCUGGUGGCACAGUCGUUCCCAGGACGGCAGCCGCAGACACAGGUGGAGUCGAGCAUCAGAAGGAAGCUGUGGGGCAAAGAGACACCAGUGCCUCACAGGGCAUCCUGGACAGCCCUGCUCUCCUGUCUACCUCCUGAGACCCAAGGCUGCAUCUUCCUCUUCCCCUCUGCUCCCUCCCAGGAAAUCCUGCUUCCCAGACCAAGCUUCCUUCUUCAUCCUCCAUCCUCCCCUCGUCUCUGCCUGACCCUCUCUAACUCUCUGUCUCUGUGUUUGUGCAUAUGUGUGUCUGUGUGUUUAUAUCACUUACUUUGUAAAUCAGUGUAGCAUCCUACUCAGCGUGAAGAAGGGUGUAACAGUUAGGAAUGAUCUGACCUUUAAAUAGUAGACAGCUCACCGCUGUGAGGCUUCUCACAGCACCUGAGGACAAUUCUUGCUAACUUCACACACAUCCGGUCAUAGGUGGACAGAAGGAACCAGCUCCUUUGUUCUUUCAGCACUUUAUAUAUUUCUCAGUGUGUUGGCUUUUUUCCUCAUGUGGCCACCUCAUGCCACAGCUCUUGACAUCAUGUCCCCCCCAUGUAUCAUCAAGUAAAGAAAAUCUGACUAUAGUGGCUUAAACGAAUAGGGCCUGUUUUUCUCACAUAAUGAUAAAUCCAGAUGUAAGCAGUUGAAAGCAUUGUUCCAAUUGCUCAACAAUUCUGGCACUUUCUAUACUUCCAUACUCCCAUCCUUAGUGGGUUGGCUUUCACAUUACUGUCAGUUCAUGGUAACAAAAUGGCUGCUGCAGCCCCAGACAUCACAUCUGCCUUUAAGGUAGGAGAGGGGUAAGUGGGUAAAGCCAGAUGCAGCUGCAUAUAUGCCCUCUUAUCAGAAAAGCAAAAAGAUAUUCACCGAUGAUGCUCAUAUCUCUAUCUGUAGCCAAGGUCUCUCUCUUGUGACCCAAACCCACACAUCCAGUAGUCUGUUGAACAUGUCUUGGAUUCCCACCAGUACCUGAGAAGACCAGGAGACCUGACCUGGGUUUGAGACCGAGCUAUGCCACUACCUUGGAAAAGGCAUCUAAGCUCUCUGAACCUUAGUUUCCACCUAAUUUUGGAAUAAUAUUCCCUGUACACCCCACGGAGCUCCUGUGAAGAUCAGACUAGAUAAUGCAAGUUAGAGUGCUCUGAAAAUCAUAAACCACAGCACCAACACGUGCUCAAGUGCGUUCCAAGAAUAACAGAAACAAAAGUGUCUAUUUGCGGUCAUCCCUCCUUCCAGAUUCUUCUUUGCACUGUCAACUCACCGGUCCUCCUCUGUUGUGCAGAAUCCCAGCAACAGGCUCAUAAUCCAGAGGAAAGCCAUCUGCGCGGGUUACACUGCAGGCAGCUGCCCAGGUCCUGUGGGAAUCCUUGUCCCCUACAGAAUAAACCUCGGGCGCUCCACGCUCUUCCAUGCACAGCAGCCUACAGGAUGGGUGUGAGGACGAGACGAGGUCGUCUCUGUGGAGUUUCCGACGUUGUCUGGCCAGCUGCGCUGCCGAUCAAACUAUCAGCAUUAGAACCUUUCCCUGUCUGCCUCCAGGGUGCCACCCCCGCUCGUCUCUCUGCUUGUGGCCUCCCCACUGAGGAAUCUUUCAGGAGUCUCGGACGUGAGCCCUGCUCCUCCCUCUGACCGACAGCUCAGUUCACAGAGCUUCCUGUGCCCAUGUGCCGCCAGCACUGUCCUGCCUGCUACACACACAUGCUCCGUCCCACCGGGGUCACCCCUGUUUCUGAAAUAAGCCCUCAGGCUCUGGCACCGAUGUCAUUAUCAACCAUAAUAAGCAGGAUGAGAAAACUGAGGUGCAGAGAAGAAAAAGAACAUGCCCAGUUCUUCACGGCUGGCAAAGGGAGAGCCAGGAUUCACCACCAGCUCUCCCGAGCCCCCGAGUCUAAAUUCCUUCUACUAAGUGGCCACGCUCAAACCCCAGAGGGAAGAGGAAACAGCACCCAGUCAAUCUCACUCCAGACUGAAGUAGGACUAAGCUGUCUUCCUGUCUCCUGUCGGCCUCAUCCACUCCCUGGGCGCUGGGAGAAACGCAACUCAAUUUCUCUCUCCACCUUUCUUCAACACCACUCCCACCACCGCUAUCCUCUGCCUACUUCUUCUAGCAGACUCCUGUUCAUCUUUCAACACCCAAAUUAAAUGUGAUCUCUUCUAAGAAAACUUUAUAGAUCCACCCACCCUCUGGGCUACAUUAGAUAGCCCUCCCCUAUAUUCCUAGUCCUUUUCUCUAUCCUCCCACUUUUGACUUGGUUUAUAAUUGACUUGUGUCCCUCUGCACAGGAUUCUCAGCUUCUUAAGGGCUGUGUCUUACACAUGAAAUCAUCAAAACAGAGCUUGUUUUUGUUGGCUUUUUUCCCAGUCUAAGGAGCCAAUCAGACAAAUGGAUCCCAAAUACAAAGGCAGGUGGGAGGGAAUACAAACUGAAGGGCCCCUGUAACUUGAAGGUGCCCUCACGCCCAGAUUUUGAGAAUAAAUAUAUCUUGGAUCGGGCAAUAUCAGGGACUUUAAAAGUAUAUAAAAUCUUGCAAAAUAUAUUCAACUCUUGUUUCAAGGCUUGUUUCCAUCAGCCUUAUGUUGUCUAAAUUAACAGCCGGCCCCUCCUCCCCGCAUGCCCACCAGCACCCAAGCUCCUCCCAGAUAAAGGCCUUGGCGUCAGAUUUGUUCCCUCCCAACCGAGAGCUUCUCUGUCUGAAGCCGCAGCUGUGAGAAUCACGGGCCUUUGUGACAACUCGAGCAUUUUGCCAUAUUUUUCCUUGAAAUAAAAGAGGAGAUAAUAGCACGCACAGCAGCGUUAAUACAACAUUAAGAUAAAAAAUAAAUUAUUCAUAAGCAUGAAAAUGACGUUAAGGUGCUGCUGGUGUUUUAAUCACAGAUAGCAAUACUCCUUUUUGCAACGACGGACGUUCUGUGCCGUGGUUGAAAACACCCUAUUACUUAGCAAGAGCAUGAACGCAGGGGCAGCCGCUGCAGGCUGUUCACCCACAUGCUCACACAGGUGAAAGAAGUCCCCAGUCUCUGGACCCACAAGCCACAGAGACAGGAUGUCCUCCAUCUGCAGCUGAUGCAGGAGAGGCCAACAUUUAGUGUUUUCUGCCUUGCUUGUGUAUUAGAAUCUCCUGGGAAGUUUUUUUUUUUUAAGCCACUGCCUAAUUCCCAGAGGUUCUGCUGUAAUUGGUAUCAUGUGUUGCCCAUCCCGCCGCUGCCCAUCCCCCCGCCAACCACCACCACCACCCCUGCCAUCCCUCUGGCUGGCCAUCCUCUCUACUACAUCACCCCCCCUGCUGCCACUGUGGUC